rnacentral:rRNA from 1 species
GUAUGGNGCANGCGUUAUCCGGAUUUACUGGGUGUAAAGGGNGCGUAGNNGGCNNUGCAAGUCNGAUGUGAAANUCCGGGGCUCAACUCCGGAGCUGCAUUUGAAACUGUAUAGCUUGAGUNCNGGAGAGGNANGCGGAAUUCCUAGUGUAGCGGUGAAAUGCGUAGAUAUUAGGAGGAACACCAGUGGCGAAGGCGGCUUACUGGACGGCAACUGACGUCGAGGCUCGAAAGCGUGGGGAGCAAACAGGAUUAGAUACCCUGGUAGUCCACGCGGUAAACGAUGAAUACUAGGUGUUGGGGGACAAAGUCCUUCGGUGCCGCCGCAAACGCAUUAAGUAUUCCACCUGAGUAGU